rnacentral:misc_RNA from 1 species
CCGAGUUUACAACUCCCAAACCCUAUGUGAACCUUACCUUUACGUUCCCUCGGCGGCGAUCCCCCAGGGGAGGACCGCCCGAGGACCCAAACAAACCCUUAUGUUUUUUACUGAGUUUUUCUGAGUAUUGAAAUAAUAAAUCA